rnacentral:piRNA from 1 species
UUGCUCCAGCACCAUGGAAUGCCUGC